rnacentral:lncRNA from 1 species
UCAGAUUUUCAGGUUCAAUUGCUUAAUUAUUUUGCUUUCUUUCUAUCACUUCUACCUUCAGGUUGCAGCUUAGAUUUUCCCUCAUGGAUUUGUAUGUGCAAUGUAAUACCAGCUUUUCAAAUUGACAAAUGGGUUUUCUACACACUUGCAUUCAGAAGACUCUUUUCUCUCUUACUCUGCCCAACAUACAG